GUCACACAGCAUCCCUGGAAGCCGAGACCCAACAACCCACUAUGCCUACAGGGUGGGGCCCCAAGGGAAACCCCAAACACAGAGGUUUGAGGGAGCAUCCAGUCAAUGCUCCACACAUGCUGUCACACAUGGGUGCUGGGAAAGGAAUCCUGCCCUGACUCCGCGGGGAGAGGACCAGGGAAGCUCCACAUUUGCAAGUAAGGCCAGCCAAGUUCAGCGGAAUAGGAGUUUCAUGAAGAGGACCAAGAGGUAACCUCAAAGCCAAGAGUGACUUCAGGGAGAACACAAGUCUGACGGGAAGAUCAAGUACAGCAGGGAGACUAAGGAGGCGAGAGAGACAGGCGGCAGAGUGACUUGUAAUCAGCAGAGACUCAAGAACUGUUUGCUUUCAUUGCAAGGACUGACAUAUUUGAGACAGAGCCCUGAUGAUGAUGUGAUAGGCGCUGGAGAGAGAAUGUGGUCAGAGAGGCCUUAGAGCAGAGAAACAUCUGUAUGGUUGCAGGAUGGUGGCAUAAAUGAGAUACAAAAAAAGCUACUUUGGAAUUCAUGACAA